CUGAGUGAGGGAGCAAUCCCGACCUCCAACCCUUUGUGAACACAUCCUGUUGCUUCGGGGGCGACCCUGCCGUUCGCGGCAUUCCCCCCGGAGAUCAUCAAAACACUGCAUUCUUACGUCGGAGUAUAAAGUUAAUUUAAUA
rnacentral:misc_RNA from 1 species